AUUGAACGCUGGCGGAAUGCUUUACACAUGCAAGUCGAGCGGCAGCGCGGGGCAACCUGGCGGCGAGCGGCGAACGGGUGAGUAAUACAUCGGAACGUGCCCAGACGUGGGGGAUAACUACUCGAAAGAGUGGCUAAUACCGCAUACGAUCUACGGAUGAAAGCGGGGGAUCGCAAGACCUCGCGCGUCUGGGAGCGGCUGAUGGCAGAUUAGGUAGUUGGUGGGGUAAAAGCCUACCAAGCCGACGAUCGGUAACUGGUCUGAGAGGACGACCAGUCACACUGGGACUGAGACACGGCCCAGACUCCUACGGGAGGCAGCAGUGGGGAAUUUUGGACAAUGGGGGAAACCCUGAUCCAGCGACGCCGCGUGGAGGACGAAGCCCUUCGGGGUGUAAACUCCUUUUCUCAGGGAAAAGGAUGAUGGUACCUGAGGAAUAAGCCCCGGUAACUACGUG
rnacentral:rRNA from 1 species